rnacentral:tRNA from 1 species
GGUGUUGUGGUCUAGUUGAUAAGUCUUUGGACUGUGAUCCACAAAGUACAGGGUUCAAAUCCCUGCCACAGCA